rnacentral:rRNA from 1 species
UACAGAGGGGGCAAGCGUUGUUCGGAAUUACUGGGCGUAAAGGGCGCGUAGGCGGCCCGCUAAGUCGAACGUGAAAUCCCCGAGCUCAACUCGGGAACUGCGUCCGAUACUGGUGGGCUUGAAUCCGGGAGAGGGAUGCGGAAUUCCAGGUGUAGCGGUGAAAUGACGUAGAUAUCUGGAGGAACACCGGUGGCGAAGGCGGCAUCCUGGACCGGCAUUGACGCUGAGGCGCGAAAGCUAGGGGAGCAAACGGGG